rnacentral:rRNA from 1 species
UACGUAGGGCGCAAGCGUUAUCCGGAAUUAUUGGGCGUAAAGAGCUCGUAGGCGGUUUUGUCGCGUCUGCCGUGAAAGUCCGGGGCUCAACUCCGGAUCUGCGGUGGGUACGGGCAGACUAGAGUGAUGUAGGGGGAGACUGGAAUUCCUGGUGUAGCGGUGGAAUGCGCAGAUAUCAGGAGGAACACCGGUGGCGAAGGCGGGGUCUCUGGGGCAGUAACUGACGCUGAGGAGCGAAAGCGUGGGGAGCGAACAGG